rnacentral:lncRNA from 1 species
UACGAGCUCCUGGAGUUCAGACACCCGUCAUUGUGCGUUUCUCCACUGUCAUUCAUGAACGUGGUAGCCCUGAAACCUUGAGAGACCCUCGAGGUUUUGCUGUGAAAUUUUACACCAGAGAGGUAGAAAUUAAUGAAUAUAUAGCAUCAUUUUAUAUCUCCAUAUCUUCUAGUGACUAAAUACAGUUACUGUAGCAGUUCGAAUUUUGUUCACAUGUUCUUUUUAAGCAACUCCAGUUUAGUUGGUAAAAUGCUGAUAAUAGUUUCAACACGAUCAUACAAGCAAAAGAUGCAUAAUGUGAUUUAACCCCAUAUGUAGCAUUUAAUUAAACAAUCUGGUCUAGUGAUUUGAUUAUUCGAUUACCUGAAAAAAUUGAAGACAUGCAUUGUUGGUUUGAGUCCAGCAUUGUCUAAAUCCUUUGUACUUUGAAAUUUCAAGCUAGAGAUAAAGAUUAUGUAGCAUAAUUAAAAAUUAUCUUCCAGUGACUAAAUAUAAUUACAGUAUUAGUUUAAAAUUGCGUCAUUUAUGAAUGUAGUUGCAGUUGUAACCAGGAUGCUAGUGUAUUUGCUUAAAUGCUGACAAUAAUUGUUUUAGAAGAGGUGAUAUGGAACAGUUGGAGUCUUGUACCAUAAAUUAUUCUUAUCUUUACCUUCUGAACACAGGGUAACUUUGACCUUGUUGGAAACAACUUUCCUGUCUUCUUCGUUCACGACGGGAUGAAUUUUCCAGAUAUGGUCCAUGCUCUUAAACCCAACCCCAAGUCCCACAUUCAGGAGAAUUGGAGAAUCCUUGACUUCUUUUCUCACUUUCCAGAAAGCCUUCACAUGUUCUCCUUCCUAUUUGAUGAUGUGGGUGUCCCAC